UACGUAGGGGGCAAGCGUUGUCCGGAAUCAUUGGGCGUAAAGAGCGUGUAGGCGGCCCGGUAAGUCCGCUGUGAAAGUCCAGGGCUCAACCCUGGGAUGCCGGUCGAUACUGCCGAACUAGAGUUCGGAAGAGGCGAGUGGAAUUCCCGGUGUAGCGGUGAAAUGCGCAGAUAUCGGGAGGAACACCUAUGGCGAAGGCAGCUCGCUGGGACGUUACUGACGCUGAGACGCGAAAGCGUGGGGAGCAAACAGG
rnacentral:rRNA from 1 species